ensembl:lncRNA
GUGUGUGUGUGUGUGUGUGUGUGUGUGUGUGUGUGUGUGUGUGUGUGUGUGUGUGUGGACUUGAGGAUGGUUUGCCAUCUGUGAAUAAAGUGACAGAUAGGACAGCAUUGAGGCCGGAUUUGAAUCAACCAACCAGAGUAGCCCGAAUCUUUCUCUGAGCUGCAGCCUCCUAAGAUCCUCCCACAUCCUUCUUUGUCCCAGUCACCAUGUGUGGCCAGUAGGGUGGCGCUGUUGCUCUUCUCCUUGGCAUUUUUGGUGGGAGAGCGAGCAUUAGGAGUUUUUAUGUCCAUGGUCCCUGACGGGAAACUAAACUCUUUAUCCAGCAUUAUCCAGCAUAGAACCGUGGGUAAGUGGGUGUGACGGCGGGCGCUGCACCAGCUAUGCGUAAGUCACCACGCCUGUGCGUAAAGUACUCCACUUUGAAAUCCCUAGUUAGUUUCAAAACGUACUAGCAAUUCAGCUAAUUUGGCUACACCGCCGACAAGUAACGUCCUUUACUAGGAACAACUUAAUGCUUAAAUAUAACUUAAGCAGUUCGAUGUCGCUUUCAACGUGACGACAACCAAGUCACAACGAAUCAACAACAAGCUGGGAUGUUAUCAAGGAAGUGCGCGAGGAGACCGAGGAGGAUAUCGGAUCACGGUCGGAACUUGUGUUGCACUCAUGAACCUGACGACAUCCAAACAACCAAUCAGAAAAGUCUGCACGUGUCGGGGAGAGGAUGCGUUCCUGAAUCCUCGGACGCCAGCCUUCCGAGUUGCACGUUGGAUGUCACAUCAGGUCUCGGAGCAUUCAUAGCAUUCCUGUUCGUCUUUGUGAUUGUGGCAUGAAAUUGGCUAGUCGUUUAUUGUUAGCUACAUUAGCCUCUUUAGCGAACCAGCCCGAAAACAACGCAACUUUACAUUGUAUUGAACGCACAGCAUGACCAUGCAAUGUAUAGGCCUAAACUGGUGACCGGAAUAAAUGAGCAAUGUAAUCAAGGUUG